UACGUAGGGGGCGAGCGUUGUCCGGAAUCAUUGGGCGUAAAGAGCGUGUAGGCGGCUUGGCAAGUCUGACGUGAAAGCCCGCGGCUCAACCGCGGAUUGUCGUUGGAAACUGCCUCGCUAGAGUCCGGAAGAGGAGAGCGGAAUUCCUGGUGUAGCGGUGGAAUGCGCAGAUAUCGGGAGGAACACCUGUGGCGAAAGCGGCUCACUGGACCACAACUGACGCUGAGGCGCGAAAGCUAGGGGAGCAAACAGG
rnacentral:rRNA from 1 species